AUCUGAGCUCCGGGGCAGAGGCAUUGUUUUGGCAUGUAGGGAAGUGGAGGCGCCUGUUUGCGGUAGGAGCUGCUGGACCCGUGAAGGUUCAGCACCGUGUGUAGUAGAAAGUGCACUUGCAUACAGCUGUUCUUUUUCUCAGGGAUAUCCAGGUCUUCUUUUGACAUCCAAGUGUGGCGCUCUCCUCUCUUCUUGCUUUUUCCCAUGACAGGAGUGGCAGUGUGGACUAUCCAGGCAUGGGUCACUUCUCCAGAGUGGAUUGGCUGCUGUGGCUUUUAAUGAAUAACACUGCUGUGUGCUGCAUGAUGUGAAGAUAAGAUGUUUGAAAUAAGGCUUUGCAGGAACACUGCAUUUGCACUUUUACUUGAAGAAACACCUGAUAUGUUUUCCAGCUGUUUCCUACAGAUGUUGUACAUAUGCUUAAAGCUUUAGAGUGCUGGGACUGGUCCCAUGGGAAGAGACCUCAGAGAUGGCACAUGAGAAGGUGGAGAAGCUGCGCUGCCUCGUGGCUCUCGCUCCUCCAGCCACCCUGUCACUGACAGAGCUACCGAACCACGUCACCCUGCUGAGGUCGAGUGCCUGGCCCCACGCAGUCUGCUCCGAAAAACAAUCAUCUGCCUUGUAAGCUACCAUGAAAUGGGGAAAAUAGUCACUCUCUCAGAAGAAUAAAGAGACUUUGAGACAUCAAAUCUUAAGAUUGCUAUGAUAUUCUGGGGAAAGAAAAAAAAAAAUCAGACUGGGAUCAUUCUUGACUUUCUGAAAAACCCAAAAUGCAGAAGGUGCUCGAUUCAGUGCUGGUUCCUUUGAGUACAGACCAUUACAAAUAAAAGGCACAAGUUCAAAUCUUGGGAUUAUUAUUUUUUAAAUUAUGAAACACAUCCUGUAAUUGAUAGCAAUAUCUUUUAAAACACAUAAUCAUGUAAAACUGAAUGGUGACACUUCCAGAUGUUGAUAUUUGAGUUAGCAGUAGAUAGUGCUUAAGACUGGCCUCCAAAUGACCUCCAAGAAAAUUGAU